CAUCUCCAGGCCUCCUUGUUCCUCCUCGAACCACUGAGGCAGUUUCAUUUCUACACGGAUAUACUUACCUGGCAGGGGAGAUACCAUGAUCACAUUUCUACACGGAAUGCCUCUUCCUCUGGCCCCGGCCGGGUUGCUCACAGAUCUGGGGCCACAGCUGACCACAGUCAAACAGAACCUUCUCCAGCAGAGGUUUGGGAGUGCGGCUGCUGCCACAGCCCUUCAAGGCAACGUGUGGUUCCCCGGCCAUGCUGGGUCCUGUGCUGCGCAUUGGCAGGCGGACUGGACAGUGAGGGCAAGGUCUGGGACACAGCCUGUGGGUCCCCAGCCUCGUGCAGGAGCUGGCUGGGGAGGAGGAGAAAUCGACCCAUUUCGCUAGAGUGUAUCCUUUGUCGAAGUUGCAUUUGUGAAGUAAGCAUUGUAUAUUUUUAUUUUUUUUUAAACAGUUUUCACCUUAAAUCACUAUUCACUUUGCCCUCUUUCCACACACGUUGUUUGUUUUGCCAAUCCCUGGUGUUCACUACACUGAAAAGUCCUUCAGUGUCUGCAGUUGAGACAGGACGCCAUACAUAAUCCUUUUUUUUUUUCUUUUAAUUUGAGACAGUCUCACUGUGUCACCCAGGCUGGAGUGCAGUGACACAAUCACAGCUCACUGCAGCCUCUCCUGCAGGGCCUGGAAGCCCUCAAACUCCUGGGCUCAAGCCAUUCUCCCGCCUCAGCCUCCCAAGUAGCUGGGACUACAGGUACGCACCACCAUGCCUAGCUAAUGUUUUUUUGUUUUGUUUUGUUUGUUUGUUUGUUUUUGAGAUGGAGUCUUGCUAUGUUGUCCAGGCUAGUCUCAAACUCCUCACCUCAGACAAUCCUCCUGAGUGGGCCUUGCAAAGUGCGGGAUUACAGGUGGGAGCCACUGCACCAGACCAUGCCAUGUGCAAUACUAAAAUAACAUCACUCAUGGCCAUCACAGAACUCAUGCAGAGUACACACAACACGUGUGGGGACAUGUGUGUUGCCUGUCCAGGGUCCAUUGCCCCUUGAGGCCUCCCUGAAAAUUCUCUGUCCCCACCCCAACCUCAUUGUGAUCCACACUCCCCAAAUGUGUGCCCCCGGGGAGGCCAACAAAGCUCACCCCAGUCAGGCUGGGCCCAUCUAGCCUGAGAGAAGCCUACUCCCCGUCUCCUGGUGAUGGGUUCCAGGAUGGACUGGGACCCAGUUCUGUCCAACAGGAAAUGAGAACGCCCGGGGCUUCAGGGAAAUGUCUCAUCAGGUCUAGAAGGAUCCCUGAGAAAAGACAGCCCCUUUCUUGGCCUGGAUGUGAUACACACA
rnacentral:lncRNA from 1 species